rnacentral:lncRNA from 1 species
UUAGUUCUCUGAGGACCCUCCUGGUGGAAAAAUUCUAGAAUGUAACGAAUAUAUUAGUGACGUGGCGUAACAAACUAAUCAAAUGUCUUCUUUUAGGGAUAUUUGUCCCAUCAUGAUUGUAAAAAAAAUAUUUUUAUUGUACCUUUUUUUUGAAAAUAGUGAAUAUAAUUGGUUUGUUAUUGAUGACGUUGUGCAAGUGCGAUAGUGUAGAAUUCCUCCUCCUGAUGAGCAUGCAGUGUGAUGCUGAAAUACUCCCAU